rnacentral:rRNA from 1 species
UACGUAGGGUGCGAGCGUUGUCCGGAAUUAUUGGGCGUAAAGAGCUCGUAGGCGGCUUGUCGCGUCGGAUGUGAAAGCCCGGGGCUUAACUCCGGGUCUGCAUUCGAUACGGGCAGGCUAGAGUUCGGUAGGGGAGAGCGGAAUUCCUGGUGUAGCGGUGAAAUGCGCAGAUAUCAGGAGGAACACCGAUGGCGAAGGCAGGUCUCUGGGACACUACUGACGCUGAGAAGCGAAAGCAUGGGGAGCGAACAGG